CCUACGGGUGGCAGCAGUGAGGAAUAUUGGUCAAUGGGCGGGAGCCUGAACCAGCCAAGCCGCGUGAGGGAAGAAGGUACAGCGUAUCGUAAACCUCUUUUGUCAGGGAACAAAGGCGGGGACUAGUCCCCGGAUGAGGGUACCUGAAGAAAAAGCAUCGGCUAACUCCGUGCCAGCAGCCGCGGUAAUACGUAGGUGGCAAGCGUUAUCCGGAUUUAUUGGGUGUAAAGGGCGUGUAGGCGGGAGCGCAAGUCAGAUGUGAAAACCCAAGGCUCAACCAUGGGACUGCUUUUGAAACUGUCAAACGAGAGGACGUGAGAGGGAAGAGGAAUUCCUAGUGGAGCGGUGAAAUGCGUAGAUAUUAGGAGGAACACCAGUGGCGAAGGCGUCUUACUGGACCGAAACUGACGUUGAGGCUCGAAAGCGUGGGGAGCAAACAGGAUUAGAUACCCGGGUAGUC
rnacentral:rRNA from 1 species